rnacentral:rRNA from 1 species
CGCCUGUUUAUCAAAAACAUGGCUCUCUGUAUAUUGAAGAUAGAGAGUCGGACCUGCCCGGUGAAUUUUUUAACGGCCGCGGUACUCUGACCGUGCAAAGGUAGCAUAAUCAUUUGCCUUAUAAUUGAAGGCUAGAAUGAAUGGUUUGACAAAAAUACAACUGUCUCUUUACAAUUACAUAAAAUUUUAUCUGCAGUUGAAGAAGCCUGCAUUUGAAUAAAAGACAAGAAGACCCUAUCGAGCUUAAAAAAAACUGGUGGAAUAACAAACUUAAUCCUAACUUAUAAAUAAAUAAAUAGUCAACUACUGGAAAUUUUGGUUGGGGCGACCGGGGAACAAAAAAAACUUCCUUUAUAAAAAUUUAGAUGCCCAAAUAUUGAUCCAGCAUUAUAUGAUUAAAGAAAUUAGUUACCGUAGGGAUAACAGCAUUAUCUUUUUUAAGAGUUCUUAUCGAAAAAUAGGUUUGUGACCUCGAUGUUGGACCAGAAUAUCCUAAAGAUGCAGCCGUCUUUAAGGGUUGGUCUGUUCGACCAUUAAAAUUCUACGUGAUCUGAGUUCAGACCGGA